rnacentral:rRNA from 1 species
UACGGGGGGGGCAAGCGUUGUUCGGAAUUACUGGGCGUAAAGGGCUCGUAGGCGGCCAACUAAGUCAGACGUGAAAUCCCUCGGCUUAACCGGGGAACUGCAUCUGAUACUGGAUGGCUUGAGUUCGGGAGAGGGAUGCGGAAUUCCAGGUGUAGCGGUGAAAUGCGUAGAUAUCUGGAGGAACACCGGUGGCGAAGGCGGCAUCCUGGACCGACACUGACGCUGAGGAGCGAAAGCCAGGGAGCAAACGGG